CGCCCGCCGGGCUCCGGGCUGCCGGCAGGCUCCGCGCUGCUGCACCAUUUGUUGGGAAGUUUCUCUCUGCUCGCCGGAGCCUCGGGAAACAAAAAGCAGCUCUGGGGUGAUCCUUCUGCUCCGGCUCCAACCCCGCCGCUUGCUGCGGCCCGGCGCGGUCCCUCCGCUCGCUAGCGGGGCUGCCUGGAGCUGCUCGCCCGUCCCAGGACUGGAGCGGGCGGACGAGCAGGAGGAGGGCAGAGAGGGAUCGAUACGGGUUCAUAAUCCGCGAGAGGACUUUCCUCGGAGCGUGGCGGUGCUGCUGGGUUUCAAACAAACAACAAAAAGUCCUCACACCUCUGUUAGCGAUGCAUGCAGCCGAGUGGCCCGGCCGCCAGCAGAUCCGCGGAGGUGAACCACGCUGCUUUUCGGGAGCUGGGGGCGCACAAAGGGGACCUGAACUUUAUCUUCCCCUGCUGCAGGAUCGCAAGGGCCGCCUCCUUCUUUUUGAAAGGCAAAGAUAUUGCUCGGACUAAAAGUCGAUUUUCUUUUUUCCUGGGGGGCUGGGGGGAAGAGGAGGGCGAGAGCCCAAGUGACAAGAGAUGAUGAUGAAUUCGGCUCAGUGGCCUGUUAUCUGUGACAUUGAGCUGUUAUUUCAGAUAAUGGCUAUUGUUCCAGACGGGGAGGGGAGAGAAGGGAAGAAAAAAAAUCGCGCCCAGCCGAGUUAGGUAGGACAGGAAAAAAAAACAAACCCUUUGUAAAUAACCCCCAAAUCCUGGCCCGAGAUUCCCACAGAGUGGGAACCUCAGCGAGCUCCCGGUUUGCUGGCCCAUUGAUUUCCUGCCCUCCCUUAACUUGUCCAUUGUUGGAGCCUUUUUUUUUUUAAUUUAGCCAUAAAUUGGACCAGCUCGAGCUAUGAGCUGUUCUAUUUUCUUCCUGUCAGGAUGAGGGAUUUGUUUUAUGAUGCAUUGUGUAUUAAAUACAAGUAAUCUGGGAAACUGAUUGCUCGAGCCCAUAGGCCUGAUCAGAGGUUCUGAUAGGAAGCCCGAGCCCCCUCCCUGGAACAAAGCCGCUCUGAAAAGGAGGAAAUGUCGGUGGAUAAACAAAAGGGCUCUUGGUAUCAGUAGCAGGUCCUGGCUAAAUUAGGAUUUCAUGGAAAGGGCUCGCGGAGAGGUUCCCGGGCUGGAGGAGGGAGGGCGGCUCGAGCUGCGGAGCUUGCGGCCGCUGGCCGGUAGAUGGCGUUGCGAGCCGGGCUACCGCGCGCGGCGCAGCUCCGCCGCCUCCCAGGUACUCGAGUGCCUCCAGGGCUGCAGCCAAGGCGGUGGCUGCUGCUAGAAGGUGUGAGCUGAGUGCUGGUCCCCGCAUCAGCUUUACAAGGGGCAGCAUCGGCGCUGUAAAUGAAGAGGGCAGAGCCUGGGCUCUUGCAGCUAUUCUCCUGCCAGGCUUCUGCUCUCCAGGGCUUACUAAACUGCUGGCUGUAAGAUCCCAACCCCCUGCUGCUACACUAGAUGAGUAGGAGUAGGAUUAUUAUGAUCGAUGAUCGAUUGCGAUGAUGCCCUGUUAGCUCAACUCAGACGCCUAGUAAGGCGACUCUGCAAGGCUUCCUCCGUUGUUAUCAGGGGAUGCACCGACACAUUUGCCAAGGAAGUUCCUCACCUGCGUGCAUCCGUGGUCGCCCGCAAAAGCCGGGCAGCAGGCUCGGGGGUUACUCACCCACACAUCUGCGGGCUCUGUAACAGGGCAAACUUAGAUCUCUUUGGAUCUAAAUCAAAUGUAGCUCUCUUGGACACACGCACACACACCCCGCUUCCUAGCAGCUUCUCCCCCGACACUUCUGCACCAAUCCGUUCACAGCAGUUCCCGGUCAUAAAUUAAUCCCGAAAAGCUGCUGUCUGCUGGCGAGCAGGGGGGGCACAGCCGGAGUCGGCGUGUUUCAGCUUUGCACUUGAAACGGGCUAUUAAAAAUCAUGUUUUGCCAUAAUCUUAAAAACCGGCUUGAUUCCAUCCCAAAAUGUAGCGGGGCAGCAGGUCGCUGGCACGAGCGCCGUGGCCGGGGGCGGAGAGCCGCGUCCCCCAAACUCUUGGGCUGUCUCCCUGCGGGGCGAGGAAGGAGCCUGGGCCCGUGCAGCCCGGGGCCCUGGCAAGGGGGGGGGGGGGCUUUCCUUCCCCCCGGCUGCAGGGUGGAGAGAUCAGAGGCAGCAGACGGUCCUGAUGGGAUCCCUCGCUAAGUGAUCCCCUACGUGGGUGUGCCUGUGUUUUCCUCCCGGGUCGAAAGGGGCCCAGGGGCAUCUCUGGCCUCUUCCUCCCUCUUCCUCUGAAGGGUUUGCAGGCCCCCAGUCCUGCCCUGGGACCCACUGGCAAGUGUUUAUUUAAAGUGAGUCCCCGUAUGAGCGGAGGCAGCGAGGAGCUAGUACUUCGGACUGCUAGCUCAAUUCCCACCAGGCUGUAAACUGAUGCCUCUUUUAAAGCCUUUAACUUCAUGGUCGUCCCCGAAGUAAAAGUUCUCCUAAUGGAGACCCUAUGGACAUGGCGCAUUCCAGCACAUCAUUAAAGCAAUGAAAAGCAGCUCAGGCAAAGCCAGAUGAAAUAACUGCACUGUCCACUUUUAAUGGGCUUCCUGUGGGCAAGCGCGCUGCGGAGGACAGCGCUGGAAAACCAGACAAGGCGCUGGCAUGUCUCUCUCUCAAAAAAAUUAAAAAGUACCGUGACUUCAAUCACAUGCUCGUCUAUUAGCCUCGCAUUUAUGGACCGAGCCACUUCAUAGCCACAUGUGUAAGUGGGAUUUAACGUUAUAUUUCUCAAGGCGACUAAACACAACACUGAGCAUCCUGGCUAAUGCUGCGGGGAGCUUCUUUCCAGCACGGGACAAGUGGACUUCAAAACAAACCCGAUGCAAAAAGCCCUUCUCCAACGCAGCCGGAGCGGCCAAGUCCACUAGAAACCCUGAAAACGAUUCAACCUCCCUGAGCUUUAUAACGUGAAAGAUACGGACCGGUGUUUGAAAACUAGGACGGGCAGGAUGAGAGAGGGCUGGUCCCUGCGCGGGGCCGGGGCCGGGGCCGGGGCCGGGGCCGGGGCCGAGCCCGCCCCGCGGCUCUGCGGCCCCUCCUGCCUCCCGUUUGGGUGGAUUCCUUCCUCCCAGCCAAAGGGCUGUUUGAGAGAGGGGAGGAAAUUAAAGGUAAAAAAAUGUAAAUAAAAAAUUUCCCUUGGUCUGGAAAUGGGCCCAACUGAAAGCAUGUUAAUCUCCACCUCAGUAAUUUGGUUCUUCUGGAGAAGACAGAAGCCCCGCUGCUGUGCCCUGCACUUCAUAAAUCACGUCUUUAUGUGGACAAGGUCAGGGCACCUAACAGCUCAGACAUGGGCCUUUGCAGUGGCUCGGAGGGCUCCGGCAUGUUUAUUCUCUCGCACAGAUCUCCGAGGAGCAGUCCAGCACGCUUCUAAUUACUUUUGAUUAUUUUCAUUUGCUGGGGUCAGGCUGGCUUUGCCAGGACUGCUGGAGGGCUGGUUUCUUUACACAUCCCCCUUGUCUGUGCGGGACACGGCGGGGUCCCAGCGCCCACGUCUGGCCGGGUGUCCCCCUGCCACAUCGCCGAGUCCCCCACUUGGGCGCUUCCCGGCUGCUCCCCCGUUCCUAAUUAAACUAUAAAACUAAUCACGGCUUGGCCACAGCCCUGAGCUGCGAGUCGGGGUAGAGGGAGGGAGAGCUGACCUCUUGUUUUGCUGGAGCAAAGAACAACUAGCAGCCCCCCCCCGGUUGAUUUGAAAUCUAUUUAGUACAUUUUCAACCUGGUUUGGAAGUGAAGAGAUACUAUUUCUAGGCUGAGAGUCUGCUACUGCUCUACCCGGUCCCGCGAUCAAUCGCUCCGAGUAUUAUUUGCAGAGUUAUCCUAGAAACUCAAGCCUCUGAAAAUGUUUUUUCCCCCUCUAGACAGAUGUUCAGCACAAUUCGGAGUCGUAACCUCCAGCUACUGCAGAUAUAUGCAAUUACGGGCUUUGCUUCUUAAACCAGACCGCCCUGUUGCUAAAUUAACUGCGAAAAUAAUUAAAACAAAAAAAAAAUCAGUCAAUUGAAAAACAAACGAACGAAAAUGGAAACAUUCCCCAAAUGCCCCCCUCCUCCCCAGCUCAAAUCUUGCACGUUAUAUAAAACGGAGGUACGGGCGAGGCUUCGAGUACGUCGAGGCGAUUUUCCCACAAAAAUGCACAUAAUGCGUGCUCAGCAGACUGAAAACUUCCAGUUCCUCUGAUAGCUGGAGGUACUUUUAUAAUCACGGAUUUGUGUGCUUGUGUGUACAGAGACAGAGUGUGUGUAUUUCUGCUGCUAUAUGGUGUGAUCACAACGUAUGCUUCUGCCUUAUUAGUGGUGAAGAAAGAUCCUGCGCGUCUAUGUAUCCGGACACACGCAUCCAAAAGACGUGCACGGAUUGAUGCUCCAGCCAGGCAGGCACACGCCAAUGCACGCAGACAGACACGGAUCCACACUAGCCCCCAAACGCUGGACGUGUGUAAUCUGUGACCUUUUCAACACUUGGGGGGAUACAUGCAUGGCUAUCAGCCCUUUCGACACCCUCGCUAUCUGCAAUGUUCCCUGUCCUGCCCCGAUCCUCAGCAGUCCUGCUCCUGGCAGGAGUUUCACAACUAACUGCGUGCUCAGCAGAAGGGCUCCUCUUCUUUUCUUCCCUUUGAAAAUUCACCCUGCUCAAAAAACGGGGGCUUUAUCCCCAGAUCUGAGCGCCACCGGCUCAUUCCUCACUUUUGCUUCCAUUUUUAAAUUUCUUUUAACACAUUAAAAAAGAAUCCCGA